rnacentral:rRNA from 1 species
AUGGCUCUCGCUUCCACCUCCCCUCUUGCCGCCACCGCCGCUCGUCCUAUGACUUCCGCUCCCCUCACGCUGUGUCGUUCAGGCCGCCUACAGCGCAUCUUCUGCCAGGCGACCACCGACAGCCCCCGCGGCGGCAAUGCGUCGAACACGUCGCCGUCGCCGCCGAGGUGGCGCGUAGCGGUCUCUGCAGCCCUCGCGGCUGCCGUAGUCGUAGCGAUGCCUGCCCACGCGGAUCUGAACAAGUACGAGGCGGAUCAGAGGGGCGAGUUUGGCAUCGGCUCAGCCGCGCAGUUCGGCAAUGCGGACCUCAAAAACACUGUGCAUGUUAACGAAAACUUCAGGCGGGCGAACUUCACAUCUGCUGAUAUGAGGGAAUCAGAUUUUAGUGGUUCCACAUUCAAUGGUGCCUAUAUGGAAAAGGCUGUUGCUUUCAGAGCGAAUUUCACUGGUGCAGAUUUGAGUGACACUUUAAUGGAUCGCAUGGUUCUCAAUGAAGCUAAUCUCACAAAUGCUGUGCUUUCACGGACUGUCCUUACACGUAGUGAUCUCGGUGGAGCAACCGUUGAAGGUGCUGACUUCAGCGAUGCUGUUAUUGACCUACCACAGAAACUGGCUUUGUGCAAAUAUGCAAGUGGGACAAAUCCUAUAACUGGAGUCAGCACCCGGAAAAGCCUUGGAUGUGGCAACAGUCGCCGCAACGCAUAUGGGAGCCCUUCCUCCCCUCUUUUAAGUGCCCCGCCACCUAAACUUCUGGACCGUGAUGGUUUCUGUGAUGAAGCUAGUGGUUUGUGUGAUGCGAAGUAA